UACGGAGGGUGCAAGCGUUAAUCGGAAUUACUGGGCGUAAAGCGUGCGCAGGCGGUUUUGUAAGACAGGUGUGAAAUCCCCGGGCUUAACCUGGGAACUGCAUUUGUGACUGCAAGGCUGGAGUGCGGCAGAGGGGGAUGGAAUUCCGCGUGUAGCAGUGAAAUGCGUAGAUAUGCGGAGGAACACCGAUGGCGAAGGCAAUCCCCUGGGCCUGCACUGACGCUCAUGCACGAAAGCGUGGGGAGCAAACAGG
rnacentral:rRNA from 1 species